GACGAACGCUGGCGGCGUGCCUAAUACAUGCAAGUUGAGCGCUGAAGGUUGGUACUUGUACCGACUGGAUGAGCAGCGAACGGGUGAGUAACGCGUGGGGAAUCUGCCUUUGAGCGGGGGACAACAUUUGGAAACGAAUGCUAAUACCGCAUAAAAACUUUAAACACAAGUUUUAAGUUUGAAAGAUGCAAUUGCAUCACUCAAAGAUGAUCCCGCGUUGUAUUAGCUAGUUGGUGAGGUAAAGGCUCACCAAGGCGAUGAUACAUAGCCGACCUGAUAGGGUGAUCGGCCACAUUGGGACUGAGACACGGCCCAAACGCCUACGGGAGGGAGCAGUAGGGAAUCUUCGGCAAGGGACGAAAGUCUGACCGAGCAAGGCCGCGUGAGUGAAGAAGGUUGUCGGAUCGUAAAACUCGGUUGGUAGAGAAGAACGUUGGUGAGAGUGGAAAGCUCAUCAAGUGACGGUAACUACCCAGAAAGGGACGGCUAACUACGUG
rnacentral:rRNA from 1 species